GCAAAACUGAGGGAGGAGGAAGGGCUGCGAGCGUGGCACGUUCGUGCUCAGCCGUCCGAGUCCCGAUCGUCAGCGUGUCAGAACAAAAGUGUUUCAAUAAACCUAAAUGCAAGUUACGUCUCUAUGAAGGACAAAGGCACAUCUGCAAUAAAGGUCACCUCCUGCAUUUUUCCCCAGAAGGAAAGGAUGGCAGUAGUAGCUGAACACGCUGGUCUGAACUGCAUCCA